UUGAAGGAUAUUCAUUUCCAGCCAUUCAUUUUUCUGUUCACUUGAUGGACAAAGGAACAAUAUCGAAAAUGUGUGAAAUUUAAUUUCCAGAUAGUUUAAAUAGUUUAGAUCAUGUUUAACAGUACUGAUCAUCAAUUUGGAAGCUCUAUCAUCGAAAACAAAUCGGUAGUAAACCGAGCCGUUUACUACCGAUAGUAUUACUCGUCUCAAUUACCACAGAUUUGUUCGCAAAUCGGAUCGGCGAUUUGCUAGUCUUAUCACUUAACUCA
rnacentral:lncRNA from 1 species